UGAUAGGAUCUGAUUACCCUAAAGAUACCAGAUUCCUUCUAAUCCUAAAAAUUAAGCAGGAUGAAGCCUGGUUAGUACUUGAAUGGGAGAUCAACAAAUACCAGGUGCUGUAGGCU
rnacentral:rRNA from 1 species